rnacentral:rRNA from 1 species
GCAGGAUCAGCUAAAACAGCAAGGCUUGGGCAAGCAAAAGAAGAGACAGAGAGAAAUAGCCGAGUAUCAUGCCAAACGGAGGCCGAUUUUCGAGGAAGCUCACUGAGGACCAGCAGUGACUCUGGCGCAAACGUCAAGCGCCUUGAGCAAGAGACGAACAUAAAGAUCGAACAGCUGAAGCAGCAGGCAGCAAACAUCUCUCUAGAGAUGAUUCAGAUGCUUCUGAGGUACGUCAGCACUGUGAAGAACUAA